rnacentral:rRNA from 1 species
GACGAACGCUGGCGGCGUGCUUAACACAUGCAAGUCGAACGAAGUGGCGAACGGGUGAGUAACGCGUAAUCAACCUGCCCUUCAGAGGGGGACAACAGUUGGAAACGACUGCUAAUACCGCAUACUGAAGGAGGGGAUUGCGUCUGAUUAGCUCGUUGGAGGGGUAACGGCCCACCAAGGCGAUGAUCAGUAUGCGGGCUGGUGGGAUGAACGGCCACAAUGGGACUGAGGAACGGCCCAGGCUUCUACGGGAGGCAGCAGGGGGGAAACUUCCGAAAUGGACGAAAGUCUGACGGAGCAACGCCGCGUGAGUGAUGACGGCCUUCGGGGUGUAAAACUCUGUUAAUCGGGACGCGGUACCGGAAUAGAAAGCCACGGCUAACUACGUGCCAGCAGCCGCGGUAAUAC